CAAAAAAUGGGCCAAAACGCAACAAAAUUAACUAAGUAUGGAUUGAAGAAUAGAGGUUUGAAGUUCAAUCUUUCAUGAGAAUCUUCUUCAAUGUUGAGGACAAGGUUCAACGACUUUUUCCACUUUCGGAAUUUUUUUUUUUCUGGACCUGUAAUUUUUAUCGGAGCAAACAUUAUAACCAGUUGAAUACAAAACUACUCCCAACUCAUUUUUUCCAAAAUAAGACCGUGCAAUCAGACGGUUGCGUUCAUUUGGCAUGGACUAUGCCUGUAAUAAUUGCUCGCCGCUAAUGCGUCGCAUCAUUCAGUGAAUUGGUGUGACUUAUGUCCUGCCUCAUCUGUAAUUAUUAUCCAUGUUGCGUGGCGUGGUAGUCGCACAGGUACAGAGCAUUGUUACCAACCCCACCCAACCUCAACGACUUAAAAUUCCGAACGCAGGAUGCGCAUUUUAGCACUCAAUUCACGAUUUCCCAGACUCGCAGUGUAAAUUUCGCUGAUGAGCAAUCUCCGAUCAUGCCCCGACAACACUCGCGAAAACCGGAGUGAUGAGAGUUGGAACCCAAGUUUCCUUCCCGGCGCGGCGGAGAGAAAAGAUUGUGCCUAUUGUCACUUGUUUUGACAGUUGCGGGUCGUGCGCACAGUUCACAUCCGCUAAGUCGAGUGUUUUAAAAAAGUCGAAUUAAGCGUGACAAAGUAAUUAUUACAAACGGGCUGAUUUUUGCGUGGGCGUUACCCGUAUAGCUCUGAUGGAGAGUACAUUGACUUAUGGGACCGCUUGGUGGGGAGUAUAAAGCCGUCAAUGUCGCAAAAUUCCAGCCAAUCUGAUUUCAGCUCGCCAGUUUCAUUUCAUUCUUCGGCCGAUGACUGCGUCACAAAAUCCGCAGGACGAGUUUCUCGGAGUCGCCACUGCCAAAUUUGCGACACGCACAAUAAAACAUGCAAAAUAUACGACAUGUUUGCUAGGAAGAACGGCAGCUGUGAAUACGGGUGGAGGAGGUGUCUUGAUUUGUGCGGAAUUUGAUUUUAGAUCCUGAAUGAUCAUUGACAUGGGUGCCGAAUUGGAAGACGUGUGCAUAUUCAAUCUAAUGCUUACGAUAUUUCCUACCGAAAGAAUGUGCCUAGGUUUUCUUUUUUCGUUCGUAAAAUAUACAUAUUUCAGUGGGUGCUA